CCCCUCUCAGGGUCACACUUGGAGAGUUUCUAGGACUCUACCAGUAUUAGCUAGAGGACGGAGAGUCAAGCAGAGGCAUACCAAUUCUAUUUCUAGCUUGGGCAGCGGCUAGCGAAUGGAAGGCAAUCUGCUACAAGU